rnacentral:rRNA from 1 species
GAUGAACGCUGGCGGCGUGCCUAAUACAUGCAAGUAGAACGCUGAAGCUUGGUGCUUGCACCGAGCGGAUGAGUUGCGAACGGGUGAGUAACGCGUAGGUAACCUGCCUCUUAGCGGGGGAUAACUAUUGGAAACGAUAGCUAAUACCGCAUAAAAGACGAUAUCGCAUGAUAUUGAUUUGAAAGGUGCAAAUGCAUCACUAAGAGAUGGACCUGCGUUGUAUUAGCUAGUUGGUGAGGUAACGGCUCACCAAGGCAACGAUACAUAGCCGACUUGAGAGGGUGAUCGGCCACACUGGGACUGAGACACGGCCCAGACUCCUACGGGAGGCAGCAGUAGGGAAUCUUCGGCAAUGGGGGCAACCCUGACCGAGCAACGCCGCGUGAGUGAAGAAGGUUUUCGGAUCGUAAAGCUCUGUUGUAAGAGAAGAACGAGUGUGAGAGUGGAAAGUUCACACUGUGACGGUAACUUACCAAAAAGGGACGGCUAACUACGUGCCAGCAGCCGCGGUAAUACGUAGGUCCCGAGCGUUAUCCGGAUUUAUUGGGCGUAAAGCGAGCGCAGGCGGUUAGAUAAGUCUGAAGUUAAAGGCUGUGGCUUAACCAUAGUACGCUUUGGAAACUGUUUAACUUGAGUGCAGAAGGGGAGAGUGGAAUUCCAUGUGUAGCGGUGAAAUGCGUAGAUAUAUGGAGGAACACCGGUGGCGAAAGCGGCUCUCUGGUCUGUAACUGACGCUGAGGCUCGAAAGCGUGGGGAGCAAACAGG